rnacentral:rRNA from 1 species
CCCUUAGAUGUCCGGGGCCGCACGCGCGCUACACUGAAGGAAUCAGCGUGGCUUUCUCCCUGACCCGAAAGGGUUGGGAAACCCGUUGAAUCUCCUUCGUGAUAGGGAUUGGGGCUUGAAAUUGUUCCCCAUGAACGAGGAAUUCCCAGUAAGCGCGAGUCAUAAGCUCGCGUUGAUUACGUCCCUGCCCUUUGCACACACCGCCCGUCGCUACUACCGAUUGAACGGUUUAGUGAGGGCCUCGGAUUGGUCUCGGCCCGCUCUUUACCGGGCGGCGCCGUUGGUCGAGAAGACGCUCGAACUUGAUCGUUUAGAGGAAGUAAAAGUCAUAACA